rnacentral:rRNA from 1 species
AGCUCCAAUAGCGUAUAUUAAAGUUGUUGCAGUUAAAAAGCUCGUAGUUGGACUUUGGGGCCCGAGGGGAGGUCCGCCCAGUGGGUGAGUACUUUUCCUUGGGUCCUUCCUUUCAAAGACCCUCUCUGCUCUUAACCGGGUGGGGAUGUGGGAUUUGGAUCUUUUACUUUGAACAAAUUAGAGUGUUUAAAGCAGACGCCUGUCUGAAUAUUUUAGCAUGGAAUAAUAGAAUAGGACUUUGGUCCUAUUUUGUUGGUUUUAAGGACCUCAGUAAUGAUUAAUAGGGAUAGUUGGGGGCAUUAAUAUUUAAUUGCUAGAGGUGAAAUUCUUGGAUUUAUGAAAGAUUAACUUCUGCGAAAGCAUUUGCCAAGGAUGUUUUCAUUAAUCAAGAACGAAAGUA